rnacentral:rRNA from 1 species
UACGGGUAGGGGGCAAGCGUUGUCCGGAUUUAUUGGGCGUAAAGCGCUCGCAGGUGGUUCGUUGCGUCGUGACCGGUUGAAAGGACCCCGGCUCAACUGGGGAAGGGUCGUGCGAUACGGGCGGACUGGAGGCCAGUAGGGGGAUGCGGAAUUCCGGGUGUAGUGGUGGAAUGCGUAGAGAUCCGAAGGAACACCAGCGGCGAAGGCGGCAUCCUGGACUGGUCCUGACACUCAAGAGCGAAAGCGUGGGGAAGCGAGUCCGG